rnacentral:rRNA from 1 species
AUACUCCUGUACCAGUUGCUUUUGUUUGAGCGAUGGAGGGACGCAGGAGGCUAAGGAAUGCACACGAUCGGAAAUGUGUGUCCUAGCAGCAAGUCUGAGAACGAGUGAAAUGCUUUUUCUCUCAAGGACAAGCUGUGAUGGGGAGCGAAAUUUAGUAGCGAAGUUCCUGAUGUCACACUGCCAAGAAAAGCUUCUAGUGAGAAAGUAACUGCCCGUACCGCAAACCGACACAGGUAGUUGAGGAGAGAAUCCUAAGGUGUGCGAGAGAACUCUCGUUAAGGAACUCGGCAAAAUGACCCCGUAACUUCGGGAGAAGGGGUGCUGACCGCAAGGUCAGCCGCAGUGAAUAGGCCCAAGCGACUGUUUAUCAAAAACACAGGUCUCUGCAAAAUCGAAAGAUGACGUAUAGGGGCUGACGCCUGCCCGGUGCUGGAAGGUUAAGAGGAGAGGUUAGCGCAAGCGAAGCUUUGAAUUGAAGCCCCAGUAAACGGCGGCCGUAACAAUAACGGUCCUAAGGUAGCGAAAUUCCUAGUCGGGUAAGUUCCGACCCGCACGAAAGGCGUAACGAUUUGGGCACUGUCUCAACGAGAGACUCGGUGAAAUUAUAGUACCAGUGAAGAUGCUGGUUACCCGCGACAGGACGGAAAGACCCCAUGGAGCUUUACUGCAGUUUGAUAUUGCGUGUUUGUAUCACAUGUACAGGAUAGGUAGGAGCCGAAGAUACCGGGACGCCAGUCUCGGAGGAGGCAACGGUGGGAUACUACCCUUGUGAUAUGACCACUCUAACCCGCUGCUCUUAGCGAGCAGGGAGACAGUGUCAGACGGGCAGUUUGACUGGGGCGGUCGCCUCCAAAAAUGUAACGGAGGCGCCCAAAGGUUCCCUCAGAAUGGUUGGAAAUCAUUCGUAGAGUGUAAAGGCAGAAGGGAGCUUGACUGCGAGACCUACAAGUCGAGCAGGGACGAAAGUCGGGCUUAGUGAUCCGGUGGUUCCGCAUGGAAGGGCCAUCGCUCAACGGAUAAAAGCUACCCUGGGGAUAACAGGCUUAUCUCCCCCAAGAGUUCACAUCGACGGGGAGGUUUGGCACCUCGAUGUCGGCUCAUCGCAUCCUGGGGUUGUAGUCGGUCCCAAGGGUUGGGCUGUUCGCCCAUUAAAGCGGUACGCGAGCUGGGUUCAGAACGUCGUGAGACAGUUCGGUCCCUAUCCGUCGCGGGCGUUGGAAAUUUGAGAGGAGCUGUCCUUAGUACGAGAGGGCCGGGAUGGACACACCGCUGGUGUACCAGUUGUUCUGCCAAGAGCAUCGCUGGGUAGCUAUGUGUGGACGGGAUAAACGCUGAAAGCAUCUAAGCGUGAAGCCCCCCUCAAGAUGAGAUUUCCCAUCACUUUAAGUGAGUAAGACCCCUGAGAGAUGAUCAGGUAGAUAGGUUGGGAGUGGAAGUACAGCGAUGUAUGGAGCGGACCAAUACUAAUCGGUCGAGGACUUAACC